UCUCCUGCCUCAGUUUCCCUAAGUGCUGGGGUGACAGCCGUGCACAACCAUGCUUGGCUUCGGACCUCGCAUCUGACCAGCACGUUAUAGUUUAUGAAGCAUAUCCAAGCACAGCCACAACCCUCUGUGAAACGGCCUUGUCAUCCCUCUUUUACGAGUGGGGAGACUGAGGUGACCUCAGUUGCUGAGAUCACACAGUAAAUGAUAGACUAUUGGACCUAGGUGGUCUUUGGGACUAUCUAGUUCUGUCCCCUCAUUUUAUAAAUGACAAUGGUGAGGCCUCAGGGAGCUCUCUGUUCUGGGGUCCCUUCUAGCUAUAUGACAGUCAGCCCCAGGUUCCCUUUCCCAGGGAACGUGCCAGCUUCAGACAGGGCCCAGUGCAGACAUCAGCCCUUGGUUCUAGUGAUUGUGGACACAGCAGUGUCAUGCGGUGGCCAGGCUUCCAGGCUCUGGCACCAGCUGGAUCCGAGUUCCAAUUCUGACGAUCUCAUGUGUCCUUGGGAAGCUGACCUCCUCUCUCUGUGCUUUAGUGUCUUCACGUGCAGCGUGAGUUCUCUCAUUGGAUAUGGAGAGGGUUAGACAGCACACACAGGCACAUGGCUUAGCAGAGAGCCUGCACACAGUAAGUGCUUAAUAAACGCUGGCGGUUCAGUGUUUAUACUCCCAGGGAUGACUAAAGGGCUGGAGUGUCCCAGCUCCCAAUUUUGGGACCCUGAUGUUUGUCCUUUGCAAGUCUCCAUUGGCCUCCCAGAAGGUGAGGACCAGGUGGCUGUGCCUGGGGCUGACAGAUACAAGCUGGGCGGCCUCCCUGGGCCCCAGCUGCAGAGACGGUGGCCUCUUCAUGCAGAAGGGUAAAGGGAAGCGGAAGAUUCCUUUGCACCUUCUUUUCCCAGUGCUGUGCCGUCCUGCCUUAGGAUACUCCAUCAAUCUUCUGAAAUAGUUCUGCAGUGCAGGUUGAAGGCCAUGUCUAACCUUGACUCUGUCCCCGAAGCCUCCAGACAUCAUAGCCAGGCUGGGUCUGGGGGAGCCUCAGGGGUCUCCCGGAGCAGUCACUGGGGAGGGUGGCAGGUGGCACAAGGGGACACGCCUGCAGGCCGUGUGCUUGUGGGAAAGCCUUUGGAGCAGGGAAGGGGUGGUGGCCGAGGGGCACCUGCGGAAGAUGUCAGGGAGCCGGGUGCCUCCCCAUCCCCGGCAGAGUCCUCAGGAGUCAACCCUUCACCCAGGUGGUGUGUGGCAACGUCUUGCCGCCUCGAUGAAGACAGGCUUUGAAAGUCAAUUAUUUGAAACCCAGGACGCCGAGGCCUCCAGGGCCUCUCAGCAACGAGCUCUGAGCAAACAGGCUUUUGGCAAGUUCAGAGAAGAGGAAACAGGAUUGAAUUUCCCCUCCGACUCACCUGGGGGAGAAUUCAGACUGCCUGGUGGUUAGGACAUGGGGGAUCUUGGCUCUGUGGUAGGCUUGAGAGUGGGGGUCCUUUGGGGUCAUGGAGGCAGGCCCAGAGCCAUUCUGUAGCUUCCCCGCAGCAGCUGGUCCUAGGCUCAGGACUACCAAGGUCAAGCAGUUCUUCCCUGGGUCUAACUUCAUUACCUCUCGCUGCAAAUGAAAAGACGCCGUGCCGCUGGCUCAGCAACCGAGUCGAGGAGGUUUGAGGCCCCAACCUGACCAUGCCAGCUGGGUGUGCUGUUGGGCAAGCUGCUUGGCCUCUCUGGACCUUUCCCCGCCUGUAAAGUGGAGGGAACGCUGGGUUCCCUACGUCUUUCAGAAAGCAGGUAGGGCGGAAGGCUGCUCACGUGUCCAAGUUAAAGGAACGCCACGAGGGGACCUUCCUCACCAACCCGGGCCCGCACUCGACUGUGACUACAACUCAGGAGGACCUACUGCAGAAGACUGACCCGGGGGUGCGCUGGAGCGGUGGGGGUAGAUGAAGGGAAACGCUCACCUUUCAGUCUCUACAAGUCAUGAGCUCAUGGGGGUGGGGAAGGCUGCAGACUUGAGAACCAGGGGGAAGAACUCUGAGAAAAUGGCAGAGCAGGACAAUGGCGUAUGUGACCUCCCUGGGCCACUUUCCGCACUCAGGCCCACUGUCCUCUUGGGCUGGGGCCCCUGCCCUGAGCCAGCCUGGCAGCACCUAGGGCUGAGGCAGGCCCAGCCUCUGCCCUUCUCCUCCCCAGCUCCAGCCCUGCCCUCCAUCUGAACACCCGCCCCAUCCCCACAGCAGCCUCCCAUCCCCAUCGCUCUAACAGAACUCAGAGCAAAACUGAGGAGGCGUGGAGCAGUGGUUCUCAGCCUUGCCUGUACAGAGUCACAGAAGGAAGCUUUUAAAAGCCCCAAUGCCUGGGCUGCCCUCCAGGCCCCAGACUGAUAAAAGAGAAUGCCUGUGUGCAUGAGUGUAUGUGUGCAUGUAUGUGCACAUGUAUGUGUGCGUGUGUGUGCAGGAUCUUUUAAAGCUCCACAGGUGACUCCAGUGAACAGGCAUGGCUGAGAGUCCAAGCUGUAGAUCCUCUGGCCACAUGCAUCCUGAGCUGCACCUUCUGCCUGUAAGAAGCAGGAACCUCCAGAGUCAUCCCACACAGCCAUCAGGCAGAUUAGGAGGGAAACCUGAGCAAGACAGGGCCUGGCACCUAAUAGGUGCUCAUUAAACGCUUGCUAAAUACUAA